AACACAUGCAAGUCGAGCGGGCGAGGUUGCUUCGGUAACUGAGCUAGCGGCGGACGGGUGAGUAAUGCUUAGGAAUCUGCCUAUUAGUGGGGGACAACAUUCCGAAAGGAAUGCUAAUACCGCAUACGCCCUACGGGGGAAAGCAGGGGAUCUUCGGACCUUGCGCUAAUAGAUGAGCCUAAGUCAGAUUAGCUAGUUGGUGGGGUAAAGGCCUACCAAGGCGACGAUCUGUAGCGGGUCUGAGAGGAUGAUCCGCCACACUGGGACUGAGACACGGCCCAGACUCCUACGGGAGGCAGCAGUGGGGAAUAUUGGACAAUGGGCGCAAGCCUGAUCCAGCCAUGCCGCGUGUGUGAAGAAGGCCUUUUGGUUGUAAAGCACUUUAAGCGAGGAGGAGGCUACUUGGAUUAAUACUCUAGGAUAGUGGACGUUACUCGCAGAAUAAGCACCGGCUAACUCUGUGCCAGCAGCCGCGGUAAUACAGAGGGUGCGAGCGUUAAUCGGAUUUACUGGGCGUAAAGCGUGCGUAGGCGGCUUUUUAAGUCGGAUGUGAAAUCCCCGAGCUUAACUUAGGAAUUGCAUUCGAUACUGGGAAGCUAGAGUAUGGGAGAGGAUGGUAGAAUUCCAGGUGUAGCGGUGAAAUGCGUAGAGAUCUGGAGGAAUACCGAUGGCGAAGGCAGCCAUCUGGCCUAAUACUGACGCUGAGGUACGAAAGCAUGGGGAGCAAACAGG
rnacentral:rRNA from 1 species